rnacentral:rRNA from 1 species
CCUGAACCCGUCUGCCUACAAGCGGUAGGAGCAGCUUCGAGCUGUGACUGCGUGCCUUUUGCAUAAUGAACCUACGAGUUACUUUCUCUGGCAAGGUUAAGUGAUGAAGAGUCACGUGAGCCGAAGCGAAAGCGAGUCUGAAUAGGGCGAUUUAGUCAGAGGGAGUAGACGCGAAACCAAGUGAUCUACCCUUGGUCAGGUUGAAGGUUGGGUAAAACCAACUGGAGGACCGCACCGGUAAGCGUUGAAAAGCUUUCGGAUGAACUGAGGGUAGGGGUGAAAGGCUAAUCAAACUUGGAGAUAGCUCGUACUCCCCGAAAUGCAUUUAGGUGCAGCCUGUGGAGUUUCUUACGUGAGGUAGAGCGACUGAUUGGAUGCGAGGCUUUCACCGGCUAUCAAGUCCAGACAAACUCCGAAUGCACGUUAAGUAAGAUCCACGGAGUGAGGGCAUGGGUGCUAAGGUCCAUGUCCGAGAGGAGAAGAAUCCAGACCAUCGGCUAAGGUCCCGAAAUAAUAGCUAAGUUGACCAAACGAAGUCAGAGUGCGAAGACAGCUAGGAUGUUGGCUUGGAAGCAGCCAUUCAUUUAAAGAGUGCGUAACAGCUCACUAGUCGAGUGCUUUGGCGUGGAUAAUAAUCGGGCAUAAGCUAUUUACCGAAGCUGUGGGAUGUGUAAACAUCGGUAGGGGAGCAUUCUAGCGGCGCUGAAGGUGAGAGGACAACUCUUGCUGGAGCUUCUAGAAAAGCAAAUGUAGGUAUAAGUAACGAUAAAGGAGGUGAGAAACCUCCUCGCCGAAAGACUAAGGGUUCCUGAUCAACGCUAAUCGGAUCAGGGUUAGUCGGGGCCUAAGGGGAAGCCGAACGGCGCACCCGAUGGAAGAACCGGUUAAUAUUCCGGUACUAAUUAUGUGAGCGAUGUGGAGACGGAGAUGUGACGGUCCUGCCAACUGACGGAAUAGUUGGUUGAAGGGUGUAGGAGUUGAUCUGAGUAGGCAAAUCCGCUCGGAGAUCCGAACCUGACAGUACUCUGAGUGCUUGCACAAGGAGAUAUGGACAACUGUAACGGUGCUCCCAAGAAAAUCCGCUAAGCAUAUUGCAUGAUUACCCGUACCAUAAACCGACACAGGUGGUUGGGUUGAGUAUACUAAGGCGCUCGAGUGAUUCGCGGUUAAGGAACUAGGCAAAAUAGUCCUGUAACUUCGGAAUAAAGGACGCUCACAGUGAAGGCUGUGAGCCGCAGAGAAUAGGCCCAGGCGACUGUUUAACAAAAACACAUGGCUAUGCUAAAUCGAAAGAUACUGUAUAUAGCCUGACACCUGCCCGGUGCUGGAAGGUUAAGAGGAGAUGUCAUCGCAAGAGAAGCAUUGAAUUGAAGCCCCAGUAAACGGCGGCCGUAACUAUAACGGUCCUAAGGUAGCGAAAUUCCUUGUCGGGUAAGUUCCGACCUGCACGAAUGGUGUAACGAUCUGGGUACUGUCUCAACCGCGAGCUCGGUGAAAUUGUAGUAUCGGUGAAGAUGCCGAUUACCCGCAACGGGACGAAAAGACCCCGUGAACCUUUACUAUAGCUUUGCAUUGGAUUUGGGUAACAAAUGUGUAGGAUAGGCCGGAGACUAUGAAGCGGGUACGCCAGUAUUCGUGGAGUCGCCGUUGAAAUACGGCCCUUUUGUUAUUUGGGUUCUAACUCGCGGAUGCGAGGACAUUGCAUGGUGGGUAGUUUGACUGGGGUGGUCGCCUCCAAAAGUGUAACGGAGGCUUCUAAAGGUACCCUCAGACCGAUUGGUAACCGGUCGUAGAGUGUAAUGGCACAAGGGUGCUUGACUGGGAGACUAACAAGUCGCACAGGUAGGAAACUAGAGCAUAGUGAUCCGGUGGUUCCGUAUGGAAGGGCCAUCGCUCAAAGGAUAAAAGGUACUCCGGGGAUAACAGGCUGAUCGCUCCCAAGAGCUCAUAUCGACGGAGCGGUUUGGCACCUCGAUGUCGGCUCGUCACAUCCUGGGGCUGGAGAAGGUCCCAAG